ACCGGGUUCCGGCCAGCCCAACACAUGCAAGUCGAGCGGUAGCACAGAGAGCUUGCUCUCGGGUGACGAGCGGCGGACGGGUGAGUAAUGUCUGGGAAACUGCCUGAUGGAGGGGGAUAACUACUGGAAACGGUAGCUAAUACCGCAUAAUGUCGCAAGACCAAAGUGGGGGACCUUCGGGCCUCAUGCCAUCAGAUGUGCCCAGAUGGGAUUAGCUAGUAGGUGGGGUAACGGCUCACCUAGGCGACGAUCCCUAGCUGGUCUGAGAGGAUGACCAGCCACACUGGAACUGAGACACGGUCCAGACUCCUACGGGAGGCAGCAGUGGGGAAUAUUGCACAAUGGGCGCAAGCCUGAUGCAGCCAUGCCGCGUGUGUGAAGAAGGCCUUCGGGUUGUAAAGCACUUUCAGCGGGGAGGAAGGCGUUAAGGUUAAUAACCUUGUCGAUUGACGUUACCCGCAGAAGAAGCACCGGCUAACUCCGUGCCAGCAGCCGCGGUAAUACGGAGGGUGCAAGCGUUAAUCGGAAUUACUGGGCGUAAAGCGCACGCAGGCGGUCUGUCAAGUCGGAUGUGAAAUCCCCGGGCUCAACCUGGGAACUGCAUUCGAAACUGGCAGGCUAGAGUCUUGUAGAGGGGGGUAGAAUUCCAGGUGUAGCGGUGAAAUGCGUAGAGAUCUGGAGGAAUACCGGUGGCGAAGGCGGCCCCCUGGACAAAGACUGACGCUCAGGUGCGAAAGCGUGGGGAGCAAACAGGAUUAGUUCGGGGGAAAAAACUACUACAAAAAAA
rnacentral:rRNA from 1 species